rnacentral:pre_miRNA from 1 species
AGUACUUGAGAGAAGGCAAGAUGUUGGCAAAGCUGUAGCAUCAGAAACCUGCUGUGCCAUCAUAUUGCCAUCUUUCUUG